rnacentral:rRNA from 1 species
CAGUAGCCGCGGUAAUACAUAGGGUGCAAGCGUUAAUCGGAAUUACUGGGCGUAAAGCGUGCGCAGGCGGUUAUAUAAGUCAGAUGUGAAAUCCCCGGGCUCAACCUGGGAACUGCAUUGAGACUGUAUGGCUAGAGUGUAUCAGAGGGGGGUAGAACUCCACGUGUAGCGGUGAAAUGCGUAGAGAUCUGGAGGAAUACCGGUGGCGAAGGCGGCCCCCUGGACAAAGACUGACGCUCAGGUGCGAAAGCGUGGGGAGCAAACAGGAUUAGAUACCCCAGUAGUCCCUGUCUCUUAUACC